UAGAGCGGGGCUCAACGCCAAUUGCCCAAUUCUCCUUCCUUCUAUGGUCCGUUUCAGAAUCAGGAAGUGUACAAAUACUAAAAACAUUCAACAUUUAGAUAACUACUAAUUCACAGCAAAACAAAUACUACCUAAAAUCUCUGAUCAACAGACCUACCCAAAAAAAUCUCUCAUCGAACCAGUUUUGGAACCCAAACACAGCUCUCAGGUGGGGGAAUGAAGCUGAACGCAGGAAUCACGAAGCUGUGCAAGGUGCUGGCAGUGGUAUUAAUAGGGAACGUGGCGCUUGAAGAAAGGUUGUUGGCUGCUGAGAGACUGAAGGCAGAACAAAAGGGAGUUAGGAAAUGUGUAGGAACUCAGGUAAUCCAUAUGAACACACACUCAUUUCCCGUAUCUCGUUCUUGUUUAGCAUUUAUUGAUUAUGAUCCUCAAUUUUUUGCAUUUUAUCAAUUCAUUAAUACUAGGAUCUUUUCUUCUGUGGAA